CCAGACUCCUACGGGAGGCAGCAGUGGGGAAUAUUGCACAAUGGGGGAAACCCUGAUGCAGCAACGCCGCGUGAGUGAGGAAGUAUUUCGGUAUGUAAAGCUCUAUCAGCAGGGAGUAGAAAAGAAGGUACCUGAAAAAGAAGCCCCGGCUAACUACGUGCCAGCAGCCGCGGUAAUACGUAGGGGGCAAGCGUUAUCCGGAUUUACUGGGUGUAAAGGGGGCGCAGACGGCAGCGCAAGCCAGGAGUGAAAGCCCGGGGCCCAACCCCGGGACUGCUCUUGGAACUGCGCGGCUGGAGUGCAGGAGGGGCAGGCGGAAUUCCUGGUGUAGCGGUGAAAUGCGUAGAUAUCAGGAGGAACACCGGUGGCGAAGGCGGCCUGCUGGACUGCGACUGACGUUGAGGCCCGAAAGCGUGGGGAGCAAACAGGAUUAGAUACCCUAGUAC
rnacentral:rRNA from 1 species